UGGCACAGGUAAAUGGGCCCUCCCUCGGU
rnacentral:sRNA from 1 species